rnacentral:lncRNA from 1 species
GACAAAUCAACCCACUUCGUUUAGACCGGAAUAUUCGAUCAACUGUUCAUUCUUAUUCUUUAAGGUCCGUAGAAAACUUCCCAGGUUAGCAUCUCCAAGUUCAGGAAUUUCUGAAUCAGCUUUCGUAAUGAGUAUCUUUAAUACUUGCAAACAAGAUAUCUCAUUAAAGCAUCUUGCUCGAUCACGUAAAGCCAUGGAUCGAAAUACAAGUUAGAGUUCAAAAAAGGUGGGUUGCGACUAUCUUAG